rnacentral:lncRNA from 1 species
UGUCAGCAAAUACUUAAUAGAAAACCAUAUAGUCCAUAUAAGCUUACAAGCUUAAUUUUCUUACGAGAUGAAUCAUCAUCUCUUUGAUUCUAUGAUUUGUAACAUAGUAUCAUAGUAAUACAGAAUACAAUAGUUAUACAUCUUGAAUUCAAAAGUUUCUUGGAUUUCUUACUAUGAAAAAGUUUAUUGCAGCUAAGAGAAUCACAUUUUUAAUUAUUUGAAACAACCAUCAACCACUGCAUUGAAGACAUAGAACUAUUGCCUUGUCACUUUCAACAACAUCACAAAUUCAUGUUCCAAUAGUAGUUCCUAUGAAUUCAAAAAUAUGUUCUUUCAAGACGAAGAAACUCGUAGAUUUCUUAAAAUGGAUUCAAGAAGAGGUUGUCAUCAACAAGAUGAAGUGUGGAUUCAAGAUCAACUAGUUUGCUCCUCUGUCUUGCGGUUUAGUAACCAACCACAUAGGUUUCAUCUUCUUUGCUCUAUGUUUGGUUCAUCUUUCUUGCACUGACUUUGUUUCGGAAUCAACAUGUCUUCUUCAAAACGCAUUGAUGAUGUAUCUUCAACAUCUUCACAAAACUCAAAUAUUGUCUUCAAUCAUAUUGGAACAAUUGUGAUCUUGUUAAGUGCCUCCUAUUGACUUCUUAUUUUAUUCGGUUACUUAUGCUUUUUCAUUUCAUUUUGCUCACUUAAGUGAGUAAAGGUGGUGCACAAGUGUACAAGAAACAUUCAAAUUGUGUAGGUUUUUAUGUAUAAAGAAAGGGUGCUGAAACAAGUAAUUUUUGUCUUGUGGAUGAUUGUGUCUCUUGGAAGCCUUUGUGAGUUUUUUUAAUCAUUAUUCCAUUAAGAGAUCAUGACAUUAGUAAGAGGAUUAAUGCACUAUGAUGAAUGCUAGUAAUUGUGGUCUUUAAUUUUCUUGUAUCAAUUUUCCUUCUAUAUGUGUUUAUGUUCCAUGCACCCAUGAAUAAAAGGA